ensembl:lncRNA
UGUGAGCACCUAUGAAAAGCUUCAGAAUUGUAUUUCCCCACAUCAUUUAUUUUCUUUGGGCUGCCGAGUCUUUCUCCCAUGCUUCAUGCUCUGGCUGCGGUGAGCUGAGAGAGAACAGGACACGCCUAAAAAACCCUAAAGUGUCUCUGGUGGCCGGUGUCAGUUGUGCACAGAGAUUGUGGUCCUUGGCCCCGACCCAAGGAUUAGGUGUUCCAGGGAAGAGAGAUUUCUUGGCCCUUGCCAAUCCCCAAGAGUGCUCUGGGAAUUGUGUGUUUGUGUAUAUGUGCUUUUCCCUCCUCCCUCCCCACCUCCUCUGCACUUGAGUUUUACGCCAUCUUCCUCCUCCUCCUUAAAAUGCCCACGAGCAUGUGGAUGGCAUAAUCAGGGCCUGCCCUGGCUGGGUGGGUUUAAAAAGACUGACAAAAUGUAGCUUGGAUUGUGAAAGGGGACAAAUCUAGUAAUAUAGUCAAACUGAGUGGGAGAGUGAGAAAGGGGGGAGAGAGAGAGUGAGCAGUCGAAUAAGUGAACGGUGGGGGAUCUUGGGCAAAGGAGGUAAGACAGGAUAUGAAAACAAUGGACUCAUUGUAGAGAGAUGAUAGAGGGAUGAGAAGGAGAUCGGUGGAACACAGCACCAUCUACAGGCUGAUAGAGCACACCAUCAGAUGAUCACCGGAGGAUGGCCAGAAGUGACCGUUUUGUAGCCCCGCCACCUUUCCUGUGCCAAAAAUGCCAACUGUAACAACAAAAAGUGGCAGAUGCCAAGGGAAUCCCAGACGAAUGACCUCCGUAAAGCCGGCCUACCAAAGAGAAGCAAAUAUUUACCCUGCGUGUUUGAACCCAUGGCGCGGUGCCACGGCUGCCCCUCAGAGCACAUACCGGCCCGAUAGGCUUACUCGUCCUCCAACUUUACUCCCUGGGUACAUCCUAUAUGACGUCCAGCACAUCCCAGAGCUCAGCCGCCCUGAGACCAAAGCCUCCUUACGGGACACUGACUUCAAAGUCCAUUUUGGAAGGACUGAUCUGAAGAACGCGAACCGGUCUCUGAUAACCAACAGAGCAGUCGGGAUCAGUGGAGAAGCCACCAAAUGAGAUCUCCUGGGCAUCAAACACACACAAUACAUAAAAUAUGUGCAUAUCAUAUUAAUGUGCUGUUCUAUUCUUAUGUUGAGGUGAAGCUGGAUGGAAUAUACUGACUGUCUUGACUGUGAAUUACUUGUGCUUGAUUAACUCAGUAGUAAACAGUUUUACAUGGAAAACAUAUAUUGGCUCUAGUUUUGCUCAACUCUUUGACUUUGCAGGUCAUACCAGGAUGCAAAACUGCACAACUGACCCACCUGUGCACUCAGUGACCACAUAACCCAUCAUCCUCCAUCAUAUUAGCAUGUCCACUCUAAGAAAUGAGCUCUCAAAUCAGCAUUUAAUCCCUCAGGAGAACAACAACAACUGCAGUGUGGUACAAUAUAGAACAGAUGUGCAAGAUCUUAACCUGGGACAAGAAAAUGCCUUGAUGCGUCAGCCAUCUUUUAAAAAUAAAUAAAUAAAUAAAAUAUCA